rnacentral:lncRNA from 1 species
UCCAACAAUGAGGAAAAGUUUUUAAAAGUCCAAAUCUAAAAAUUUUGACACCAAUAUUUUUUUAUUUUGUUUUGAAAGUUUCUCUGCUUUUCCUUACAGGCAAAGCUGCCCCCUUGGUUUUACUUCUCCUGACUUGCAUGAACCACAAACCCAGUCUCUGGAGGAAUUAUCAAUUUCCUCCUGUCGUUCAUGGUAAGAUGUAGACCUGCGGAUUUACUGGUAAAUGGAAUAUUAAUACUAUUGUGUGGAAAAAGUGAGUUAUAUGGUUGUGCAUCAGUUUCAGAUGUGAGGUCUAUGUGAAAGUGGAGCCAUCAGCCAGUGUAGAAGUGGUGCAGAGAAACAUGACUGCAUUACUAAGGUCAACGUUCCCCUACAACCUAUUUCACCUUAGAGUUGACCCUAACAGCAUUACUGUUCUCUCUGUGGGUGAUUUUUUUCUGGAAACAGAACAUACACCGACUAUUCGACCAAAUCAGACAGUUUCAGGAACAAGUCCAAGUGUGUCAUUGCAGCCCAAUAGCUCGUACGCUACCAAAGAGGAACUACACAAGAAAAAUAGUUCGUUGGUUCAAUUCGACCAAUUUUUUCGAGUCAAUUUGACCUUAAAUAUGAUGGGUAACCCAGCACACCCAGAGGACUUCAUUGAGAGAUGGGU